GGGGUUGUGGCUCAGUGUUAGAGCACUUGCCUAGCAUGCGUGAGGCACUGGGUUCAAUACCCAGCACCA
rnacentral:tRNA from 1 species